rnacentral:rRNA from 1 species
GAGACAGCAGCAGCCGCGGGAAUACGUAGGUGGCAAGCGUUGUCCGGAAUUAUUGGGCGUAAAGGGCGCGUAGGCGGAUGUUUAAGUCAGAGGUGAAAGCCCAGGGCUCAACCUUGGAACUGCCUUUGAUACUGGACAUCUUGAGUAUGGGAGAGGUGAGUGGAACUCCGAGUGUAGAGGUGAAAUUCGUAGAUAUUCGGAAGAACACCAGUGGCGAAGGCGACUCACUGGCCCAUUACUGACGCUGAGGCGCGAAAGCGUGGGGAGCAAACAGGAUUAGAGACCCCCGUAGUCCUGUCUCUUAUACA